rnacentral:rRNA from 1 species
UGGGGAAUAUUGCACAAUGGGCGCAAGCCUGAUGCAGCCAUGCCGCGUGUAUGAAGAAGGCCUUCGGGUUGUAAAGUACUUUCAGUCGGGAGGAAGGUGGUAAGGUUAAUAACCUUGGCAAUUGACGUUACCGACAGAAGAAGCACCGGCUAACUCCGUGCCAGCAGCCGCGGUAAUACGUAGGGCGCGAGCGUUGUCCGGAAUUAUUGGGCGUAAAGGGCUUGUAGGCGGCUUGUUGCGCCUGCUGUGAAAACGCGGGGCUUAACUUCGCGCGUGCAGUGGGUACGGGCAGGCUUGAGUGUGGUAGGGGUGACUGGAAUUCCAGGUGUAGCGGUGGAAUGCGCAGAUAUCUGGAGGAACACCGAUGGCGAAGGCAGGUCACUGGGCCAUUACUGACGCUGAGGAGCGAAAGCAUGGGUAGCGAACAGG